rnacentral:rRNA from 1 species
CAAUAGCGUAUAUUAAAGUUGUUGCGGUUAAAAAGCUCGUAGUUGGAUUUCUGCCGAGGACGACCGGUCCGCCCUCUGGGUGAGUAUCUGGCUCGGCCUGGGCAUCUUCUUGGAGAACGUAGCUGCACUUGACUGUGUGGUGCGGUAUCCAGGACUUUUACUUUGAGGAAAUUAGAGUGUUUCAAGCAGGCUUACGCCUUGAAUACAUUAGCAUGGAAUAAUAAGAUAGGACCUCGGUUCUAUUUUGUUGGUUUCUAGAGCUGAGGUAAUGAUUAAUAGGGAUAGUUGGGGGCAUUCGUAUUUAACUGUCUGAGGUGAAAUUCUUGGAUUUGUUAAAGACGGACUACUGCGAAAGCAUUUGCCAAGGAUGUUUUCAUUG